rnacentral:rRNA from 1 species
UACGUAGGGACCAAGCGUUGUUCGGAUUUACUGGGCGUAAAGGGCGCGUAGGCGGCAAUUCAAGUCAUCUGUGAAAUCUCCGGGCUUAACCCGGAACGGUCAGAUGAUACUGCUUUGCUAGAGUGCGGACGGGGCAAUCGGAAUUCUCGGUGUAGCGGUGAAAUGCGUAGAUAUCGAGAGGAACACCUGCGGCGAAGGCGGGUUGCUGGGCCGACACUGACACUGAUGCGCGAAAGCCAGGGGAGCGAACGGG